rnacentral:rRNA from 1 species
GGGCCGCACGCGCGCUACACUGACGGAGCCAGCAAGUACAACCUUGGUCGAGAGGCCCGGGUAAUCUCGUGAAACUCCGUCGUGCUGGGGAUAGAGCUUUGUAAUUUUUGCUCUUCAACGAGGAAUUCCUAGUAAGCGCAAGUCAUCAACUUGCGUUGAUUACGUCCC